rnacentral:rRNA from 1 species
AGUCGAGGGGCAGCAUGAACUAGCAAUAGUUUGAUGGCGACCGGCAAACGGGUGCGGAACACGUACACAACCUUCCUUUAAGUGGGGAAUAGCCCAGAGAAAUUUGGAUUAAUACCCCGUAACACAACGAAGUGGCAUCACUUUGUUGUUAUAGUUUCGGCGCUUAAUGAUGGGUGUGCGUAUGAUUAGAUAGUUGGCGAGGUAACGGCUCACCAAGUCUACGAUCAUUAGCUGAUGUGAGAGCAUGAUCAGCCACACGGGCACUGAGACACGGGCCCGACUCCUACGGGAGGCAGCAGUAAGGAAUAUUGGUCAAUGGACGCAAGUCUGAACCAGCCAUGCCGCGUGAAGGAUUAAGGUCCUCUGGAUUGUAAACUUCUUUUAUAUGGGACGAAAAAAGGUCUUUCUAGACCCCUUGACGGUACCAUAUGAAUAAGCACCGGCUAACUCCGUGCCAGCAGCCGCGGUAAUACGGAGGGUGCAAGCGUUAUCCGGAUUCACUGGGUUUAAAGGGUGCGUAGGCGGGUAGGUAAGUCAGUGGUGAAAUCCUGGAGCUCAACUCCAGAACUGCCAUUGAUACUAUCUAUCUUGAAUAUUGUGGAGGUAAGCGGAAUAUGUCAUGUAGCGGUGAAAUGCUUAGAUAUGACAUAGAACACCCAUUGCGAAGGCAGCUUACUACGCAUAUAUUGACGCUGAGGCACGAAAGCGUGGGGAUCAAACAGGAUUAGAUACCCUGGUAGUCCACGCCCUAAACUAUGGAUACUCGACAUAUGCGAUACACUGUAUGUGUCUGAGCGAAAGCAUUAAGUAUCCCACCUGGGAAGUACGUUC